rnacentral:rRNA from 1 species
GCAUCUUCUUGUUUUUAAAAGACCUAGCAAUAGGUAUGCUUAGGGAGGAGCUUGCGUCACAUUAGUUAGUUGGUGGGGUAAAGGCCUACCAAGACUAUGAUGUGUAGCCGGGCUGAGAGGUUGAACGGCCACAUUGGGACUGAGACACGGCCCAAACUCCUACGGGAGGCAGCAGUAGGGAAUUUUCGGCAAUGGAGGAAACUCUGACCGAGCAACGCCGCGUGAACGAUGAAGUAUUUCGGUACGUAAAGUUCUUUUAUUAGGGAAGAAUAAAUGAUGGAAAAAUCAUUCUGACGGUACCUAAUGAAUAAGCCCCGGCUAACUAUGUGCCAGCAGCCGCGGUAAUACAUAGGGGGCAAGCGUUAUCCGGAAUUAUUGGGCGUAAAGGGUGCGUAGGCGGUUAAAUAAGUUUAUGGUCUAAGUGCAAUGCUCAACAUUGUGAUGCUAUAAAAACUGUUUAGCUAGAGUAAGAUAGAGGCAAGUGGAAUUCCAUGUGUAGUGGUAAAAUGCGUAAAUAUAUGGAGGAACACCAGUAGCGAAGGCGGCUUGCUGGGUCUUUACUGACGCUGAGGCACGAAAGCGUGGGGAGCAAACAGGAUUAGAUACCCUGGUAGUCCACGCCGUAAACGAUGAGUACUAAACGUUGGGUAAAACCAGUGUUGAAGUUAACACAUUAAGUACUCCGCCUGAGUAGUACGUACGCAAGUAUGAAACUUAAAGGAAUUGACGGGACUCCGCACAAGCGGUGGAUCAUGUUGUUUAAUUCGAAGGUACCCGAAAAACCUCACCAGGUCUUGACAUGCUUCUGCAAAGCUGUAGAAACACAGUGGAGGUUAUCAGUUGCACAGGUGGUGCAUGGUUGUCGUCAGCUCGUGUCGUGAGAUGUUGGGUUAAGUCCCGCAACGAGCGCAACCCUUAUUGUUAGUUACCAGCACGUAAUGGUGGGGACUUUAGCAAGACUGCCAGUGAUAAAUUGGAGGAAGGUGGGGACGACGUCAAAUCAUCAUGCCCCUUAUGACCUGGGCUACAAACGUGAUACAAUGGCUGUUACAAAGGGUAGCUGAAGCGCAAGUUUUUGGCGAAUCUCAAAAAAACAGUCUCAGUUCGGAUUGAAGUCUGCAACUCGACUUCAUGAAGUUGGAAUCGCUAGUAAUCGCGAAUCAGCA